AGUGAACGCUGGCGGUAGGCCUAACACAUGCAAGUCGAACGGCAGCACAGUAAGAGCUUGCUCUUACGGGUGGCGAGUGGCGGACGGGUGAGGAAUACAUCGGAAUCUACUUUUUCGUGGGGGAUAACGUAGGGAAACUUACGCUAAUACCGCAUACGACCUACGGGUGAAAGCAGGGGAUCUUCGGACCUUGCGCGAUUGAAUGAGCCGAUGUCGGAUUAGCUAGUUGGCGGGGUAAAGGCCCACCAAGGCGACGAUCCGUAGCUGGUCUGAGAGGAUGAUCAGCCACACUGGAACUGAGACACGGUCCAGACUACUAAGGGAGGCAGCAGUGGGGAAUAUGGGACAAUGGGCGCAAGCCUGAUCCAGCCAUACCGCGUGGGUGAAGAAGGCCUUCGGGUUGUAAAGCCCUUUUGUUGGGAAAGAAAAGCAGCAGGUUAAUACCCCGCUGUUCUGACGGUACCCAAAGAAUAAGCACCGGCUAACUUCGUG
rnacentral:rRNA from 1 species